UACAGAGGUCUCGAGCGUUGUUCGGAUUCAUUGGGCGUAAAGGGCGCGUAGGCGGCGGGGUAAGUCUGGUGUGAAAUCUCGGAGCUCAACUCCGAAAUUGCACUGGAUACUGCUCUGCUAGAGGGCUGGAGAGGAGAUCGGAAUUCACGGUGUAGCAGUGAAAUGCGUAGAUAUCAGGAGGAACACCGGUGGCGAAGGCGGUUCUCUGGGCCUUACCUGACGCUGAGGAGCGAAAGCAUGGGGAGCAAACAGG
rnacentral:rRNA from 1 species